CAGGUCACUCCUACGGGAGGCAGCAGUGGGGAAUUUUGCGCAAUGGGGGCAACCCUGAUCCAGCAAUGCCGCGUGAGUGAUGAAGGCCUUAGGGUUGUAAAGCUCUUUUACCCGCGACGAUGAUGACGGUAGCGGGAGAAUAAGCCCCGGCUAACUUCGUGCCAGCAGCCGCGGUAAUACGAAGGGGGCUAGCGUUGUUCGGAGUUACUGGGCGUAAAGGGCGCGUAGGCGGCGCACCAAGUCAGGCGUGAAAGCCCUGGGCUCAACCCGGGAAUUGCGCUUGAGACUGGUGUGCUUGAGUACGGGAGAGGAUAGUGGAAUUCCCAGUGUAGAGGUGAAAUUCGUAGAUAUUGGGAAGAACACCAGUGGCGAAGGCGGCUAUCUGGACUGGCAUUGACGCUGAGGCGCGAAAGCGUGGGGAGCAAACAGGAUUAGAUACCCUGGUAGUCCACGCUGUAAACGAUGCGUGCUAGACGUUGGGCACCCUAGGUGUCCGGUGUCGUCGCUAACGCUUUAAGCACGCCGCCUGGGGAGUACGGCCGCAAGGUUAAAACUUAAAGGAAUUGACGGACUCCUACGGGAGGCAGCAGUGGGGAAUAUUGCGCAAUGGGGGAAACCC
rnacentral:rRNA from 1 species